GAGHUCUGAAACGGGHUGUAGCUGGCCUUCCGAGGCAUGUGCACGCCCUGCUCAUCCACUCUACACCUGUGCACUUACUGUGGGHUUCAGGAGCUUCGAAGCGAGGGUUUAAUCGCUCUCGCCGAGUUGUUACUGGGCCUACGUUUAUCACAAACUCUUAUAAAGUAUCAGAAUGUAAACGCGUCUAACGCAUCUAUAU
rnacentral:misc_RNA from 1 species